AAUAUUGGACAAUGGGCGAAAGCCUGAUCCAGCCAUGCCGCGUGUGUGAAGAAGGUCUUCGGAUUGUAAAGCACUUUAAGUUGGGAGGAAGGGCAGUAAGUUAAUACCUUGCUGUUUUGACGGUACCGUAAGAAUAAGCACCGGCUAACUACGUGCCAGCAGCCGCGGUAAUACGUAGGGUGCGAGCGUUAAUCGGAAAUACUGGGUGUAAAGCGCGCGUAGGUGGUUUGUUAAGUUGGAAGUGAAAGCCCCGGGCUCAACCUGGGAACUGCUUUCAAAACUGGCAAGCUAGAGUAUGGCAGAGGGUGGUGGAAUUUCCUGUGUAGCGGUGAAAUGCGUAGAUAUAGGAAGGAACACCAGUGGCGAGGGCGACCACCUGGGCUAAUACUGACACUGAGGUGCGAAAGCGUGGGGAGCAAAC
rnacentral:rRNA from 1 species